UACUAUAGCCAUGUUUUGAAUAUUAAAAGUGAGAUUUCAUAUCAGAUAAGGUACAUUCCUGCCCUCCAACAGUUGAUGGGCAGCGGCUGACAGGUUGGAAUUCUUUCUGGUGCUUCAGAAAAGGACAAUGUUUGUGUGGCACUGAUCCCCAUCUCUUCCCAGGUCUGAGAACAGCACAGGCUCUGGAGCCAGGCUAUCUAGGGCUUGAAUCCCAGCUCUGCCGCUCACAAGCGUCAGACCUGGGGUCUGCAUCUGGGGAACCUGCCUAAAACAGAUGCUGCCAUACAUAGUCCCAGGAAGCUGCCCUUAAGAAAGGGAUUCUGGAUGCAGCUCAUUCACCAGCAAGAUGAAAAGGGAGGUCUCAUCUCUGGUGAUCUGGGAGACCCGUCCGUGGGAGCAUCAGCACCACCUAAGAGCACCUGUUUUGGAGCGUAUGUCACACCGAGAAGGAAAGCACCUCACGAGCUGUGGCUCAGCUGUGUCCCCUGGCCGUUACUCUCUGCAUGGCAGCCUUCUGAGUGAUGGGCACAUAGGUAGGUCAGCGAGUCCCCUGGAGGUCAGCCACCUGCUUUUUUCUGGCAGUAAUGUUCGUUUCUUGGUCAGAAAUAAUGUUGUGUGGAAUAUUGUGAGAAUGAAUAAUGCAUUUGUUGCGUCCAUAAAUGGCAUUGCUGGCAGAAGCAUGGCAGGCAGAGAAGGCGAAUCCAAACCGAAAUAGUCCAGUGAGGACAAAUUGUCGCCCCCUCCAUGAUGGAGGAGGUCAGUUAUAUGAAACCUGCUGCCAGGCGGUGUGAUGUGUCACCAGGGGCUCAGCGUUAGCCCGCUGUUGGUAAGGUGGCCCUCAGCAGUGGGAGGUAUCCGGAUGUGCCUUGAUACACGGAAGCCCCUAUGACUGAGCCCAGGUGUGACCCCCAUUCUUGCUUUUUGGCUGCUUUCUGGGCAGUCUGGGGUGGUUGAGGAAGCAGCUGACUCACAGGCACUGAACAAGGCAUCUUAUCUGCCUUAUCAUUUGGGUUCAUGCCUCCCUCCCAAAUGCCGUGCUGCCCUUUGGCAAGCAAACCUGUGGGACGCAUCACACUCUGGGUUUAUUCCAGGAGGGCUAUAUACAUCCCUGUUCCCCAGACCACCAUGUCACCAGUCACCUCUUUUUAUUUCCAAGUCCCUAAACAAACCCAUGCUUUUGAUCAUCUCUCUUUCUGUACAAACUGAACAACCGGCUGAAUCAUUUAAAGUUCUAACCACUGGGAAGAUUGCUGUUCCCCACCUCUGAGUCUGUAAUGCUGGUACAGUCCCUUAAAAGUGAGGCUUGCAUGUUAGCCGGAACCAUCCAUGAGCCAGGUUCAGGAUUUUUCUCUCUUUACCUUUAAAAAAAGUCUUUUCGUAGGGAACUCCUCAUGAGGGUUUAUGUGUGGAUUGAAGGAGACAAGCAACAAGAACAGGUGCUGUGGGAGUGUGAGCGAACCACUCGAGCUCCUUGGACCAUCUGAACCUGCACAGGCUCAGUAUCCCAUAGACCACUUCCACUUCCGCCAGCUUUGUGGCUGAGUGGAUCCAUGCAGCACCCACUUCAUGAUGGGAAGACAGGUCACAAGAUCACUUGGUUUUCCAUUGUCAAGCAUUCAGCAAACCGAGAGCUGUUUCUUAAUGGUUCUCUGCAAAGAAGAUGCGGCUUUAGUUUCAAAAUAGCAAAAUCCUAUGCUGAGACCCUCCCCCUGGGGCUCAUCACAGGCUCCAGAGAGCACUCUGACCUGUCAUAGAUGCUGUGCCCACCAUUAGAUACUCUGGAUCGUAAGAACCAAAUUGCAGAACUGCCUGCUUUGGAUCAGCUUGAGGAUUUUCUCUUGCUCUCUCUCUCUCCCACUCAACACUGACUGCCCUACAGCUUACUUGGUAAAUGAUCAGUCACCUUAAUACAGUGUGGAUUGCUUCCUUCAGACUCAUCUGUUAUGGCCAUGGUCUGGAAGGCUACCAUAUUCCGGGAGUAACCACAGUCAAGAAUCUUUCACUAGACACAGCUCCAAACCAUCGGGGUCCGCUGAAAACUCUCACAGAAAAACAAAAUGCCUCCAUGCCCAUGCUUUCCAGAAGAAACAGCAGAAGCAGGACCUCUGCCCCAUUUUUGUCUUCCAAAUUUUACUUGAGUACUGAACCUACGUUAGAGCCACCAUCCCAAUGUCAAGAGAAUUCAGGAAAGAGAGUUUUAGCCUUCCAGUCUCUGCUGUCAAGCCUAUGGACGUGGACUCUGUCUGUGGAUUGAAUUGUGUCCCCCACAAAAUUCAUAUGUUGAAGUCCUAACCCUCACUACCUCAGAAUGUGACCUUAUUUGGAAAUAGGGUUGUCGCAGAUAUAGUUGGUUAACUUAAGAUGAGGUCAUUAGAGUGGGCACUAAUGCAAUAUGACUGAAGUCCUUAUAGAAAAGGAAAAAUUUGAACACAAAAACAUACAUACACACAUGGAGAAUGUCAUACGAAGCUGAAGACAGAGAUCAGGGUUAUGCUUCUGCAAGCCAAGGAAUAACAAAGAUUUCCAGCAACCACCAGAAGCUAGAGGACAGUCCUGGAACAGAUCCUUUUGUUACAGCCCUCAGA